CGGUAUUUUGACCGUGCAAAGGUAGCGUAAUCACUUGUCUCUUAAAUGGAGACCUGUAUGAAUGGCAAGACGAGGGCUCAACUGUCUCCCCUCUCCGGUCAAUGAAAUUGAUCUCCCCGUGCAGAAGCGGGGAUCCCCCCAUAAGACGAGAAGACCCUGUGGAGCUUUAGACACUAAAAUAGACCAUGUCCCUCCCCCAAAUAUAAAUGACAAAACUUAAUGACCCCCUAUCCUACUGUCUUCGGUUGGGGCGACCGCGGAGAAACAAACAUCCUCCACGCGGAAUAAGAGCACUACUCUUACAAACAAGAUUUCCCACUCUAACGUAACAGAAUUUCUGACCUUAUGAUCCGGCAAUGCCGAUUAACGAACCAAGUUACCCCAGGGAUAACAGCGCAAUCCUCUCUUAGAGACCAUAUCGACGAGUGGGUUUACGACCUCGAUGUUGGAUCAGGACAUCCUAAUGGCGCAGCCGCUAU
rnacentral:rRNA from 1 species